UUAAUGAUAAUUGUAAUCUAAUUGGAUGUCACGUAUCUUUGACAUUGAGACAGCUAUCAUCUUUUUGCGUUUUUUUAAGUUAUGAUGGUUUUAAGUCUCAUAUAAAAUUUUUAACAGCCUCAACGACUUCAGGAGUACAUGUUACAAAUUCAAAAAAAUGGUAUUCAAGAUCAGGGACAAGAUAAAAUUAAUCUCCAGAGCCAUACAGAAGUAUCAUCAACCUCAAAUAAAGCACCAUUACAUACAGAAGAAACUGUCGAUCAAGAUGCAUUAGACGUAAAUUUAUCGGUUUAAGAUGUGGAUCCUUCGCAAGUAACUUCCACCCCUGCAGUUGUUCAUGACUUCGUUAAUUCUUCUAUACUUUUUGAAGAAGAUUUUGAUGAACUGGUAUUAAAACUAAAAGUAAGCAUAACGCUGUCAACAGAUGACGCAGAGAAGAAAAGGAAAAUUACAAUGAUUAAUAAAAUGAUAGCUUCAUUUAACAUUUGUUUGAAUGAAUCCGGUGUCCAAUCAAUGGAUAAUGCUGUUUCUAAUCUUCAUUAUAGUGGUUCUUUAACCAUUUAUUCAAGUGGUUCCCGGGGACGAGGCAAAGGCCGUAGAUGUGGUGUAAUUGCCCGAGUCAAAAUUAAAAAACUAAUUUCAGCCUCCAAAUUCUACUCGAGGGUAAGGAGGCUGAAAUCAGUUUUUUAGAUUAACCUAAGCUGUACAGCGAAACCUUAAUUUCAGCCUAAACUUGGUAUUUUUGUCCACUUUUACCAAGUUUAGGUUGAAAUUAGUAUUACAGAACCCUAAAAUGACCCUCCAAAGCCUACAGUUCGAUCGAGAAGAAGAUCCUCAUUGGUUUAUAUGAAAUAGGUGAGAGGAAAGAAGGGAAAGGAGAAGAAAUUUAAAUAAAAAUGGCUGCUGGGAGCGGGAAAAAUUUUAAAUUUUAAUUUUUUUAUUUAUUCAUUAUCCUCUUUAAAUAGAUGAAAUAUAAAUAAGUGUGAAGUUAAUUAAGUAUCGAAUUAACGCAAAAAUAUGGUCCCUGAUUCCUUAUUGAUUGAAAAGUUAAGGCGCGUGAAGCGAGAAAUUUAAAUUCCUAGUAAUUUAUAAUUCUCAUAUAAUUUAUAAAAUUCGCU